rnacentral:lncRNA from 1 species
UCAAUGGUGAACAUAGUCUCUGUUUUCUGUUAUCACAUUAAAAUUCCAUCACCUGUAUUUUCUCUCUAGUUCUUUCUUCAAAAGGUAGAUUUAGCUGAUUGAAAGCUAUCAAUUCUCCUGCCAAAUCAUCACCACACCAUUUCAACUCUAUCAGGACAAAUAUUCUUCAUUCACUCAAGCUAUAUAGAAAGGCAUUGUAUUCUAUUCCUUUUUCUUAUUUCUGCUUGUUUAUAUUUCAUCAGGAAACAUAACUUUCCCCUGUUUUCUUUAACAUUUCUCUAAUUGUUCCAAAUCUAAAAUCUUCAUUAUCAUAUACCACAACUUAUUCUUUUUCUCUUUGUAGGAAAGUGUCUUUUGGCUCUUUAAGGGGAUGUAAAAGGGCAAUAAAUUCAGUGGAUAUACACACAGAAAAUAAGUUUUCAAAUACAUAUUUCCUAUGAAUCUUUGUUUUCCAUAGAGAUUCCUCCUUAGUGUCACAACAGAGCCACAUUUUCCCAGAGCAGAAAAUCACAUCAGGAAUCCUCUGAUAAUGUUAUGAAGAUGCUUGUAUGUUUUAUAAACCAGACAACAAUUAUGCCGAGGAGUGGAUUUGCAGCCUGAGUCCUCCUGCUCCUUUUGGUGUAAAUUUGAUGAAAGGUUAACCUUAGGCAGGAGAGAAGGCAGAAAACCACACUAAGCACUUCUUAGCAGGCAGGGCAGAAAGAACACGGACAACAUUAGGAGCUCUUCUCAUCUGUGCCUAGCGAUGGGUGACAUAUGACACACCUGUUGAAUCUUUUGGGAACUGGAAGAAUGAAAAGUGGAUAACGUGAUGAUCAGGUGUUCAAGAGAGUGUUCAAGAGAGUUUCAGAUGUAAUCCAGGACACGCAUCAAUGCACUAGCUCCACAAAGAAUGAGCCCUGGGUGAAAAAGCACGUGUCGGAAAAACAAACGGAUGUGCAGAGGCGUUAGAGGACCUGCUGUAGACAGAAAGCUUUCCCGAAUUCAUUUAUUCGUUCUAACAGUUUUUUGGCGGAGUCUUUAUGGUAAGAAGAUAUCAUUUGGCUGAAAGAAUGAAGAAAAAAAAUAGGUGGACUCUAUGGCGUAGGUGACUGCAAAUGGAAUACCUUUCACCUCUAAUUGACUGACUGAAAUGGAGGCAGUCUCCAUAGAGACUGAAAUUCCUCCGUGAGAGAUGGCAGUUCCGCAGGGAGGCUGGAGAUGGAGGGCUGUGUCUCCAUCGCUAAGAGCUAGGGAGCAUGACAUCAGGACUGGAUUCACUGGUUUCCAUAGCUAAUCUGAGCUCUUAUCAGCCCUCUAUAUUUUAAAAUACAGUGCUCUUUAAGAGGAUUCAAUUUAAAGAAUUAUAACUUGUUUAUGUUAAUACAUUGAGGCUUGGGGAAAUUUUUGAAUCAACCUAGUUCUUAAACUACUGCUCACACUAUUAAGCUUCAUGUCAUAUCCAUCAAUAUAUAUCGGAUUUUGCUCCUUCUGUAUGAUUCUGCUCUGAAAUCCUGUGAUUAUAUUGUCACAAAUAGGUGUUAUGAUUUAAGGAUUCAUGAAUUGUGCCUCUCAGAGAUAGGUUGAAAUUUAAUAAUAAAAUAAAACAUUUUACUAAAAAAAUAAAGUAGAAAAGGAUGCCUUCCAUUAACCCCUAAACCAUCCUUUUGCUUGUGUCCUCCACCCCACGUUCUUCUGUUUCUUCAGUGACCUCACUGGCUGCUUCUCAGCUUCAAAUAUUUCUUCUCUUGAAUUCUCUUGCCCUAUAUGGCAUCUAAGUGUUGGGCCUCCUCAGAAUUAUAUUCAGGCCCUUAUCAUAUCUGCAGUGAAAGGCCUCCUAAACUGUUGGUCCCCUGUCUUCAAACUCCCAUCCAGGUCUCUCCACUCUUCAACUCUGAGGAAAGGAUUUUUUUAAAACAUAAAUGGGAUCAUGUUACUUCUCUGCUUAAAUCCCUUUCAUGGCUUUCUCUUACAGAAACAAUAAAACUCAAAACUCUUUGCAGGGCUCUGCAUUCAGUGUUCCUUAUAAUUGCCUGUCUCUCUUCUUUUCAUUCAAUAUACUGCAGCCAUGUUUUUGCUCAUUUCUCAAAGAUGCUAAAUCUGUAUCGUCUACUUCUAGCAUUCUUUACACAACUUUUCAGAUGACUAGUUCUCUUUCUCUCCCUUUGUUCUCAUUUUAUACACAAUUGAUUCAAAGACGUUUUUCCUGAUAAUCAAUUUAAAAUAUCCCCAAAUCUUAUUCCCAAUAUUAAUCCUUAUGAUACCCCCUUCAAAAACAUACUAGAAUCUGGGGCCGGCUCCGUGGCCGAGUGGUUAAGUUCGCGGGCUCCGCUGCAGCAGCCCAGGGUUCAGAUCCUAGGCACGGACAUGGCACCGCUCGUCAGGCCACGUUGAGGCGCCAUCCCACAUCCCACAAGUAGAAGGACCUGCAACUAAGAUAUACAACU